rnacentral:rRNA from 1 species
CGUUUAGGGGUAAACCUGAGAAACCCGAAAGGUCGAAGGGAGAAAUUCAUUCGCGUCUCGCCGCAGGCGUGGGGUGGGUCAGUGUGACGGACGCGUUUCGGUUCUGCCGUGCGCGCUUCGCGCCGCCCGUCCUUCGAACCGGUAGCGAACGCGUGCACUUUUCUCCUGGUAGGACGUCGCGAUCCGUCGGGCGUCGGUCUACGACUUACGGUGGAGCCCGUCCGUCGCCUCGUGCGCACGAAUGGACCCGUUAGUUCCGGCCGACUCGCUCGACGGUAUACUCGUACGGUCGGAGGCCGCUCUCAGGAGCGUUCGACUGGUCGCAAGCGCGCCAACUGCGUCGGCACGCGGACCUAGUGCCGCGUCCGACCUCUGGUGACUGUUGGCGACUAUGUUCUCGGACAGACCUCUUUUACAAGACCGAUCGGCGACGCUAUAGCUUUGGGUACUUUCAGGACCCGUCUUGAAACACGGACCAAGGAGUCUAGCAUGUACGCGAGUCAUUGGGAAUCACUAAACCUAAAGGCGUAAUGAAAGUGAAGAUCUUCCUAGCGGAGAUCGAGGGAAGACGGACGGAGGUCGCCGUCAAAAGUGGCGCCGUCCAGCAUUCCCGGGGCGUCUCGUUCACAUUGCGUGAAGAGGCGCACCAAGAGCGUACACGCUGGGACCCGAAAGAUGGUGAACUAUGCCUGGUCAGGACGAAGUCAGGGGAAACCCUGAUGGAGGUCCGUAGCGAUUCUGACGUGCAAAUCGAUCGUCGGAACUGGGUAUAGGGGCGAAAGACUAAUCGAACCAUC